UACGUAGGGGGCAAGCGUUGUCCGGAAUCAUUGGGCGUAAAGAGCGUGUAGGCGGCCAGGUAGGUCUGCUGUGAAAACUCGAGGCUCAACCUCGAGACGUCGGCGGAAACCAUCUGGCUAGAGUCCGGAAGAGGAGAGUGGAAUUCCUGGUGUAGCGGUGAAAUGCGUAGAGAUCAGCAGGAACACCCGUGGCGAAGGCGGCCCCUG
rnacentral:rRNA from 1 species